CUACAGGUCGUGGGGCAAUUAGUUCAUUGAAAACUCUGUUGCUUUACGAGUGGUCGGGCAAAGACUACUUACGGCUUUUUUUGUGCGUUAAGAUCUCCUUUAAAGAGCUGCAACUAUGCCCAAAAGAAAGGCUGCAGGUCAAGGUGAUAUGAGGCAGGAGCCAAAGAGAAGAUCAGCCAGACUGUCUGCUAUGCCUGUGCCCAUUACACCGGAUUUGAAGCCCAAAAGAACAGCAACUCCAAGGAAAAUGAAGACAAAGAAUGAUACGGAUAUGAUGGAAAAAAAUCACAGAAUCAAUUGACAAAUCAAUAGCUGAAACCAAGCAACAAGAAGUUGUUGAAGAGGAAUGCAACAGUGAAAAUGCUGAAAAUGGAGAAGACAAAAUUAUCAAGGCACCAGCUCCUGAAAAAGAAACUGAGGAAAUGAAAGAGGAAAAAAUAGAAGAUAUUGAAGA